rnacentral:rRNA from 1 species
UACGGAAGGCAGCAGUGGGGAAUAUUGGACAAUGGGCGCAAGCCUGAUGCAGCCAUGCCGCGUGUAUGAAGAAGGCCUUCGGGUUGUAAAGUACUUUCAGUCGUGAGGAAGGUGUUAAGGUUAAUAACCUUAGCAAUUGACGUUAGCGACAGAAGAAGCACCGGCUAACUCCGUGCCAGCAGCCGCGGUAAUACGGAGGGUGCGAGCGUUAAUCGGAAUUACUGGGCGUAAAGGGCACGCAGGCGGUUAAUUAAGUUGGAUGUGAAAUCCCCGGGCUUAACCUGGGAAUGGCAUUCAAGACUGGUUAGCUAGAGUCUUGUAGAGGGGGGUAGAAUUCCAUGUGUAGCGGUGAAAUGCGUAGAGAUGUGGAGGAAUACCGGUGGCGAAGGCGGCCCCUGGACAAAGACUGACGCUCAUGUGCGAAAGCGUGGGGAGCAAACAGGGAUUAGAUACC